rnacentral:rRNA from 1 species
CCUACGGGAGGCAGCAGUGAGGAAUAUUGGUCAAUGGCCGGAAGGCUGAACCAGCCAUGCCGCGUGAAGGUCAGUGCCCUAUGGGCGUUAAACUUCUUUUGUGCGGGAGCAAUAAUGGUCACGUGUGGCCAGACGAGAGUACCGUACGAAUAAGCAUCGGCUAACUCCGUGCCAGCCGCCGCGGUAAUACGGGGGAUGCAAGCGUUAUCCGGGAUUUUUGGGGUUAAAGGGUGCGUAGGCUGGGAGGUAAGUCAGCGGUGAAAUGCCCCCGCGCAACGGGGUGAAGUGCCAUUGAUACUGCCUGGCUGGAAUGCGGGUGCCGUGGGAGGAAUGUGUAGUGUAGCGGUGAAAUGCAUAGAUAUCACACAGAACACCGAUUGCGAAGGCAGCUCACGGAUCCGCGAUUGACGCUGAUGCACGAAAGCGUGGGUAUCGAACAGGAUUAGAUACCCUUGUAGUC